UGUUGUGAGGAAAAACUGCUCAAGAAAAAAAAUUUUUAAGCUCAAUUAUGUAGGCUCACGAGGUUUAUAUCAUUUCGACAUGCUUUGAACCUCCCAACUGUGUGUACACACGGAGGAAAGGUCCUGUGGGGAUACAACAAGAAGACAGUCAUCUGCGAGCUAGGAAGAGCGCUCUCACCAGAAACCAAAUCGGCUGGAACCUUAAUCUUGGACUUCAAGCCUCCAAACUUUUUGUAGGUGAAGUCCGAAGGGACACUGGAGCAUGCGCACAAGCAGAGGCGUGGCACUGAACGCAGCGUACGUACAGGAGGGGCGAGGCCCUCGCGGCCCCGAGCGGCGGACCAGGCACGCCCAGCGUUCAUGCGCCUUGGGCCAGUCCGGGCGCCCGGGGGUUCAGAGGAGGCAGCUGAGGCUGGAACCUGGCUCCGCACUGAUGGGGCCCAUGAAUGCAGCAGCAGUGGCCGCCGCAGCACCCUGACUCCCAGGAGAGAGGAGGGCUCCACUUGGGAGCAGCAGCACGACAGCGUGGGAGGCCUGCUUGCCUGUCGUUCCCGUGGCCAGUCUACUUCCUGUGGCGUCUGCAAAUGUAUUAACUUUCAGGCCUGAGCAUUGGGACAGGACCUGCUGGCACUCAGGAACUGCAAUCCCAGAAAAAUCCGAAAUUCAAGUGAGCCUAAUACAAGCCGAAAAUUCAGCUGUUAACCGCAGCACUAGUCGAAGCAAAGGCAAGUCCAGAGUGAGGAGGAAGAAUUUUGGUCUGUAUGGAAACAAUCAGAUUCCUUUCUUCCCUUGAGAGUGGAUGCGUAAUUAAAAAUAGGACGUAAUUACUGCCCUUCUGUAUUUGAAAGAAAACUGAACGAGGAAAAGGCAGCUGGAAGAAUUAAACCACAGGUGAAGGCAACUUUGCAACUUGGGAGGGGAAACUCUUUUCUCCCACCCUAAAUAUGUACUUCUACUGAAUAUGUGACUUAGUUCUAGCCAAUCAGAGUCCUUCCCUGAAAUUUUUCUGAGCGGGCUUAUCGGAAAAUUUUAAAUUGUUCUCAGCAUUGUAAGAUUGCGCGACCCUGGAGCUAUCUGCUGCCACGUUGACUGUCGUGGAAAAGUCUGUGAGAAAGAAAGAGGCGAACACUCAGAGAUAGCAGUGUCAGUUCUGACACUAUCCUGCCCCAGGGAUCCAGUCAUGCCUGAAGUUGGAUCCACAUCUCUGUGGUUUGGAUACUUAGAUUGUCCCUCGUCUAAAGAUAAGAAUUAUAUUUGUCAUUUUAUCCACUGUCUGAUAUGAAUGGAGUCGUCAAAUUGGAAAGAGGUAUGAUUGGGAAAGAUUCUUUAGAUUUUUAUCUUACAAAAAUAAUGGAAAAUCAUCAUGUCAGUUGGAUAUCGUGACUGGAUACUGCCUAAAGAUCAAUAAACUUUUGAAGAUGGAUGUCUGAAGAUUUCAGGAUGUGGUCCCUGCAGUCAUUAGCCAGUGUAUUUUCUGAAAAGGAGAAGACUUGGCGGAAUACUUGGCAGCAGAGAGGUGGUAACAGAUGGUGAUGUGGUAUGCCUUAGAAGAGGAGAGAGUCACCCAUUCCAGUUCCCAAGACUCCCAGGGAGGAGGUUAGGAGAUGCACCACUCUGCGGUGGGGGGUAGGGUUGGGGGACACUGGUACAUGGACUAAUUGAGAGAGACUAAAGGGAGACCAGGGGGCCCCUCUUUGAGGGCCCCAGGGGCUGAGGAAAUUGAGAGAAAGUUGAAAUCUUUCCCAAGAGAGCCAUGCACAGAAUCUCUAUGGAGACUGUUAUAUCAGCAUAGUAGAGAUUCCGGACCUGAGCCUAAGACCUUGGUUGCCUCCCCACCACGAGCAGGUGACCAAUUACUCCACAAGAUCUUUGCCUCUCCUGUUUCUCCUUUCGACCUCCCAAAUCGGAGGAACUGAUUGUUG